CAUUCCGAUUGCACAAUAAGCUAUUUUUUCAAAGAUUUGCUUAAAAUUUUACUUGUUUAAUUUCAAACAACACACGUGACACACGUGACUAAACCUGAUUGGUUGUUGUCAUAGUAACACGUCACGGUGCUAUUUGAAACUUGUUCAGUUUAGUUCAGUUGUUCACGGUGCAUGCGGUUGCUUGCAUUAAACGUAUAAACUGUUAAAUUAGAUGGCGACUCUGCAUUAAACGUAUUUAUUUAAUUAAUCGGCGAUCAUAUUUCACCAGAGGACUAAGAUAAAACAACUCGAUUUAAAAUAUGAGCAGUUUUAGUGGAUCUGACGUUGAGGGAAAAAGUAUUUCGCUUUUUGUUUGGAGAUGAACGAGACAACACGAGGCACAGCGACAUAAAUAUGACCAACCAGAUCCCAAGUAGACAGGAACAAAUGAAGAUAUAGCGCAUAGAAAGACUUAUUCUUGGUGAUCAACUGCUAUUGACAUUUUUGAAUCGGGGCAAAUGUGGAGUGAAGAAAAACGUUUGCAACACAUCCAUUCCAGAGUGCUCUGACAGAUAAAACUGACACGCUUGAUGAGGACACAGUCAAAGCUUUAAAAGCCCGUGUGAUAAAGCAGUCUUCAAUUACUACGGUGUCUGAAUUGCAAGAAGAAGUCACCCUCCACUUAAACAUGUGACAUCUAAACUGUUUUGUGUUUUAGUUCAGCUUUUUAUAGGUUUAUCUUAAGUUGGUUAAAGGCAGAGUGCAUUUU